rnacentral:rRNA from 1 species
GGCCUUUACUGACGCUAAAGCUCGAAGGUGCCGGUAUCGAACAGGAUUAGAUACCCUGGUAGUCCGCACGGUAAACGAUGGAUGCCCGCUGUUUGCGAUACACUGUGAGCGGCCAAGCGAGAGCGUUAAGCAUCCCACCUGGGGAGUACGCCGGCAACGGUGAAACUCAAAGGAAUUGACGGGGGCCCGCACAAGCGGAGGAACAUGUGGUUUAAUUCGAUGAUACGCGAGGAACCUUACCCGGGCUUGAACUGCCGGCGAACGAUACAGAGAUGUUGAGGCCCUUCGGGGCGCCGGCGGAGGUGCUGCAUGGUUGUCGUCAGCUCGUGCCGUGAGGUGUCGGCUUAAGUGCCAUAACGAGCGCAACCCCUCUCCGUAGUUGCCAUCGGGUGAUGCCGGGCACUCUGCGGACACUGCCACCGUAAGGUGUGAGGAAGGUGGGGAUGACGUCAAAUCAGCACGGCCCUUACGUCCGGGGCUACACACGUGUUACAAUGGGUGGUACAGAGGGCAGGCGUCCGGCAACGUCCGUCUAAUCCCGAAAGCCAUCCUCAGUUCGGACUGGGGUCUGCAACCCGACCCCACGAAGCUGGAUUCGCUA